rnacentral:rRNA from 1 species
CUACGGGAGGCAGCAGUUGGGAAUAUUGGACAAUGGGGGAAACCCUGAUCCAGCAAUGCCGCGUGAAUGAUGAAGGCCUUAGGGUCGUAAAGUUCUUUUAGUGGGGAAGAAGGGUAACUUGACUGUACCCACAGAAAAAGCACCGGCUAACUCCGUGCCAGCAGCCGCGGUAAUACGGAGGGUGCAAGCGUUGUUCGGAAUUAUUGGGCGUAAAGCGCGUGUAGGCGGCUAUGAAAGUCUGGUGUGAAAGCCCGGGGCUUAACCCCGGAAGUGCACUGGAUACUCCAUAGCUAGAGGGUUAGAGAGGAAAGCGGAAUUCUUGGUGUAGGGGUGAAAUCCGUAGAUAUCAAGAGGAACACCGAUGGCGAAGGCAGCUUUCUGGAUAACAUCUGACGCUGAGACGCGAAAGCGUGGGGAGCAAACAGGAUUAGAAACCCUAGUAGUCC